AGAGGGGGGACAAGGGUCCUGCAGGCAUCAAAGGGGACAGGGUGAGUAAUGUCACUUAAUACAACAUUAGUCGACAUUCACAGACACUACAUUAUGACAGUGAUAAGGGAAAUGAUUGUGUGUGUGUCUGUUUCUGUGCCUUGUUGAAAUAGGGCCCUGCUGGUGAAAAUGGCGAGCCUGGAGAAGAUGUCAGUUACCUUUUUGACAUUUUGUAAUAUCAGAUAUUUAAUGUCUAACAGAUGUCAGUUUUACUUACUUCUCCAUCCACUUUGUCUGUUUUAGGGGAGCAGAGGACAUGCAGGGCCUAAAGGAGACAAGGUAAUGCACAUCACCAGCUGAUUCCUCGUGUCUGUGUUUCCCUGGCUGCUAACCAUGUGACAGUACUAACAGGAUUUGUGUUGCAGGGAGAGAGAGGCAUCGGACUGGCAGGACCUCCUGGUCAGCUGGGACCUCAAGGGUUAAAGGGGGACACAGGACUCCCGGGCCCAGCAGGUCCUCCAGGAGCCCGUGGCAUAGCAGGGACCCCUGGUCUGGCCGGCCUGAGAGGAGAGAACGGAACCCCAGGACCCCCAGGACCUCUAGGACCCAGGGUGAGAGGGCCUAUAUCGCCAAGGUAGUUGGGUGACUGGUGUGGUCUUGUUAACCCUGCUCUGUGUUGUAUGAUUAUGUUGUAUGUCGUCUCAUCUCCAGGGUCUCCAAGGCUUUCCUGGUCAGGCAGGGACCCCUGGAGGUCCUGGGCCCCCUGGACCCACCGGCCUAGCUGGUACACCGGGAACUGCUGGAGGCAAAGGGGACAAGGUGAGUUAACAAAGAGAUAAACACAUGUCGUCCAUACUGUAUAAUAUCUUAUCAAAUAGGAUGAGAUUGCUCAUUAAUCUUCCUCUUUAGGGAGCGAUUGGAGCAGGAGUACCUGGAUUGAGAGGCGAGAGAGGAGACCCAGGACCCAGGGUAAAACCACAUCACCAUUUGAGUUUGAAUUGUAUCUAUAUUGGACAGUGUUGUGUGUGUUGGGGGAUUUACAGAUUUGUGUGUCUGAUGUUUGCAGGGGGAGGAGGGUCGAGCUGGUUUGGACGGGGAGAGAGGACUAGUGGUACGUCUGUCUCUUCUCUUUCAUCACUUAUUCAUCACUGUCUGUCUCUCAUGUAUCUCUACCACAGGAGGUUGGUGGCACCUUAAUUGGGGAGAACGGCUUGUGGUAAUGGCUGGAGCAGAAUUGCUGGACUG
rnacentral:lncRNA from 8 species